UACGGAAGGGGACUAGCGUUGUUCGGAAUCACUGGGCGUAAAGCGUGCGUAGACGGCUAUCUAAGUCGGGUAGUGAAAGCCCCGGGCUCAACCUGGGAAUUUGCAUUCGAGACUGAAUAGCUAGGGUACGGUAGAGGGGAAGCGGAAUUUCCGGUGUAGCGGUGAAAAUGCGUAGAUAUCGGAAGGAACAUCAGUGGCGAAAAGCGGCUUC
rnacentral:rRNA from 1 species